rnacentral:rRNA from 1 species
GAUGAACGCUGGCGGCGUGCCUAACACAUGCAAGUCGAGCGAACCCUUCGGGGUGAGCGGCGGACGGGUGAGUAACGCGUGGGUAACCUGCCCUGUACACACGGAUAACAUACCGAAAGGUAUGCUAAUACGGGAUAACAUAUGAGAGUCGCAUGGCUUUUGUAUCAAAGCUACGGCGGUACAGGAUGGACCCGCGUCUGAUUAGCUAGUUGGUAAGGUAACGGCUUACCAAGGCAACGAUCAGUAGCCGACCUGAGAGGGUGAUCGGCCACAUUGGAACUGAGACACGGUCCAAACUCCUACGGGAGGCAGCAGUGGGGAAUAUUGCACAAUGGGCGAAAGCCUGAUGCAGCAACGCCGCGUGAGCGAUGAAGGCCUUCGGGUCGUAAAGCUCUGUCCUCAAGGAAGAUAAUGACGGUACUUGAGGAGGAAGCCCCGGCUAACUACGUGCCAGCAGCCGCGGUAACAC